GACGUAGGGCGCGAGCGUUGUCCGGAUUUAUUGGGCGUAAAGAGCUCGUAGGCGGCUUGUCGCGUCGGCUGUGAAAACCCGCGGCUCAACUGUGGGCGGGCAGCUGAUACGGGCAGGCUGGAGUUCGGUAGGGGAGACUGGAAUUCCUGGUGUAGCGGUGAAAUGCGCAGAUAUCAGGAGGAACACCGGUGGCGAAGGCGGGUCUCUGGGCCGAUACUGACGCUUAGGAGCGAAAGCGUGGGGAGCGAACAGG
rnacentral:rRNA from 1 species